ACACAUGCAAGUCGAGCGAGAAGCUACUAUGAUCCUUCGGGAGAUUAGACUAGUGGACAGCGGCGGACGGGUGAGUAACGCGUAAAUAACCUGCCAUACACACAAGGAUAGCCAUCGGAAACGGUGAUUAAUACUUGAUGAAGCUACACAUUCGCAUGAAUGAGUAGUUAAAGAAUUUUGGUGUAUGAUGGAUUUGCGUUUGAUUAGCUAGUUGGUAAGGUAAAGGCUUACCAAGGCAAUGAUCAAUAGCCGGCCUGAGAGGGUGAACGGCCACACUGGAACUGAGACACGGUCCAGACUCCUACGGGAGGCAGCAGUGGGGAAUAUUGCACAAUGGAGGAAACUCUGAUGCAGCAACGCCGCGUGAACGAAGAAGGCUUUCGAGUCGUAAAGUUCUGUUAUAGGGGAAGAAGAAGUGACGGUACCCUAUGAGAAAGCCACGGCUAAUUACGUGCCAGCAGCCGCGGUAAUACGUAAGUGGCAAGCGUUAUCCGGAAUUACUGGGCAUAAAGCGUUCGUAGGCGGUUAAACAAGCCAAUAGUGAAAUCCACCAGCCUAACUGGUGUCAGCUAAUGGAACUGUAUAACUUGAGUACAGGAGAGGAAAGUGGAAUUCCUAGUGUAGUAGUGAAAUGCGUAGAUAUUAGGAAGAACAUCAGUAGCGAAGGCGACUUUCUGGACUGUAACUGACGCUGAGGAACGAAAGCGUGGGGAGCGAACAGGAUUAGAUACCCUGGUAGUCCACGCCGUAAACGAUGGAUACUUGGUGUUGGCCGUAAAGGUCGGUGCCGGAGCAAAUGUAUUAAGUAUCCCGCCUGGGGAGUACGGUCGCAAGGCUGAAACUCAAAAGAAUUGACGGGGACCCGCACAAGCAGCGGAGCAUGUGGUUUAAUUCGAAGCAACGCGAAGAACCUUACCAAAUCUUGACAUAUCAAAGCUAUCUGAGUAAAAUUGGAGUUCCAUUUGGACUUUGACUACAGGUGGUGCAUGGUUGUCGUCAGCUCGUGUCGUGAGAUGUUGGGUUAAGUCCCGUAACGAGCGCAACCCUUAUUUUUAGUUGCUAACAAGUAGUGUUGAGGACUCUAGAGAGACUGCCGAUGA
rnacentral:rRNA from 1 species